GCUCUCUUUGGCACAACAUAUACUAAAAUUAGAAUGAUACAGAGAAGAUUAGCAUGGUCCAUGGGCAAGGGUGACAGGCAAAUUCAUAAAGCAUUCCAUAAUUUU